GCCGAGCGCCGCGACCCUUUCCUCUUCUCUUCAGUUCGCAAAGCAGCCGUACGCGUCCAGAUCUGCCGCCUUCCAGAUCUGCACCGCAAGACCGCGCCGUUGCCCUUCCGCCGCUGCCCGGUCCAGAUUUGCGUCGCCGUGCACAGCCUCACGCCGCUGCAACCGUUUCCGCGUCUUGUUCUGUCUCCGUCGAAGCCGAGCCACCGUGUGAAGCAGUAACCGCCACGUCCGCCGCUCACAACCGCCGUCCAAGCCAGCCGCCCGAUCCCUUCUCCUCCGUUGUCUGCACUGCCGCGCGACUCUCCGGCCGUCUGUAUACGGUCUCUCCGUCGCACGUUGUCUCUUCGCAAAGCUACUGCUCGAUUUCUUUCGCGAAGAUUUGGGUAAGUUGUAAAAAGAUUCACAUAAAAUGUUGUUGAUUAAUAUAAAAUCGAUAUAUCACAUGGUGCUUUGGGUUCUCCUUACAAAUCCAAUGGAGUUGAUGAUUGAUAUGAGAAGAUACAGAUUGAUAAAGGGAGAUAUGGCUUAUACGGGACCGUAUUUUCCCUACUGUCACACAGUAGGUAGUCUAAUUACAAGCUCAGGACAUCGAACCAUUUUCUUCUUUGACCACAGUACUGAAGGCUGCGAGAAUCGAUGACUUAGAGCUUUUUCGUCGCGACUUGGAGCUUUUUUCAAACUGCUAUUGGAAAGUUUUUGGAUAGUUUUAGAUAAGUUAGUUAAGAAGUUGAGUUGAACUUAUGACAAUCUAAUGAAUUGUUUAUAUUAUUUUUGCAAAGGAUAAGAAAUAUUCAUAUAUGUAUUGUUUUGGAAAUGAUUAUAUAUAAAUAUGGUGAAGCGUUUUAUUUAUA